CCAGCAGCCGCGGUAAUUCCAGCUCCAAUAGCGUAUAUUAAAAUUGUUGCAGUUAAAAAGCUCGUAGUUGGAUUUCUGGUACGGCGCACUUGGCCCGCCGAGGUUACUCGGUUGUGUGCCGGUGUGCGCCUGCCAUCCUUCUGGGGAACGGCUCUACCCUUCACUGGGUGGGGGUCGGUAUCCAGAUCUUUUACUUUGAAAAAAUUAGAGUGUUUAAAGCAGGCUUGCGCUAUGAAUACAUUAGCAUGGAAUAAUAAUUUAGGACUUUGGUCUUAUUUUGUUGGUUUCUAGGACUAAAGUAAUGAUUGAUAGGGAUAGUUGGGGGUGCUAGUAUUCAGCGGCCAGAGGUG
rnacentral:rRNA from 1 species